UACGUAGGGGGGCUAGCGUUGUCCGGAAUCAUUGGGCGUAAAGAGCGUGUAGGCGGUCCGGUAAGUCCGCUGUGAAAGUCGGGGGGCUCAACCCUCGAAUGCCGGUGGAUACUGUCGGGCUCGAGUCCGGAAGAGGCGAGUGGAAUUCCUGGUGUAGCGGUGGAAUGCGCAGAUAUCAGGAGGAACACCAAUGGCGAAGGCAGCUCGCUGGGACGGUACUGACGCUAAGGCGCGAAAGCGUGGGGAGCAAACAGG
rnacentral:rRNA from 1 species